GACUACUUCUGAUGAGGUAACAUGAAGAGCGAUGUCAAUGACAACCACAGUCUUAAGGCUAAAAACAAGCCCAAGAACUGAAGGGUCCUGCUCAUGCAGCCAUGGAAACCCCUCAGUGCUACAAGCAAGGUCAAAGGUCUCCUCGAUCCGUCAGCUCCAAACUCAUCCUUCAACCGACCAGGAAUGACACAUGCUGUCCUGUGGUUUUAGGGGUGAAGGUAAAAAAAUAACCAGAGGCUGCACACCGAGGCUGAUGACCGCUAGGUAGACGUCACGAAGUAGCUCCGAAGGGCAGUGAGGAGCAGGAAACUGUGACGCAGUUGGACGUGGAAGCCAAUCAGAAGCAGAGGAGCGAGACCGCGAUCUUGGCUCAAAC